rnacentral:rRNA from 1 species
GUAGUCUGCAACUCGACUACAUGAAGCUGGAAUCGCUAGUAAUCGCAGAUCAGAAUGCUGCGGUGAAUACGUUCCCGGGUCUUGUACACACCGCCCGUCACACCAUGGGAGUCGGAAAUGCCCGAAGCCGGUGACCAAACCAAUAAGGAAGGAGCCGUCGAAGGCAGGUCUGAUAACUCGGGGUGAAGUCGUAACAAGGUAGC